UAUCAAGCGAAACACAGAAGUAUUUUUAGUACAAUACCACUUGAAAUUGUUGAGAACCAGGAAGUUUAAAUGAAUACCCCGUUUAUACCAGACAUGUUUAAAAAUCGUUGAAUCAAACUAGUGGCCAUUUUUGUAAUGUGCACAGCUAACUUAACAAAUUUCAAAACAUGUGUGCUAUUAAACUAAACUACCUCUGGGAAGAUGGCGGCAAAAAAAGGUCAUUGGAUAGAGAAAUUAAUGACUAAAUGAGCUGCAGGAUUAAAACAAAUCCAAUGACCAGAUCUUUUACAAUGUGCUUUAGUGAGAAAGCUUUACCUUGCGUUGGAACCUUGGAGGUGGGGUCCUGAUUCUUCUGUCCUCCUUGGAUCUGUUUCGGACAACCUUGGAGUGGAUUGCACAGCUCACGCAGUAGUGAAGCUUAA